GUGAGGAAUAUUGGUCAAUGGGCGGGAGCCUGAACCAGCCAAGUCGCGUGAAGGAAGAAGGAUCUAUGGUUCGUAAACUUCUUUUGCAGGGGAAUAAAGUGCAGGACGUGUCCUGUUUUGUAUGUACCCUGAGAAUAAGGAUCGGCUAACUCCGUGCCAGCAGCCGCGGUAAUACGGAGGAUCCGAGCGUUAUCCGGAUUUAUUGGGUUUAAAGGGUGCGUAGGUGGUUUGAUAAGUCAGCGGUGAAAGUUUGCAGCUUAACUGUAAAAAUGCCGUUGAAACUGUCGGACUUGAGUAUAAAUGAGGUAGGCGGAAUGCGUGGUGUAGCGGUGAAAUGCAUAGAUAUCACGCAGAACUCCGAUUGCGAAGGCAGCUUACUAAGCUACAACUGACACUGAAGCACGAAAGCGUGGGGAUCAAACAGGAUUAGAUACCCCGGUAGUCC
rnacentral:rRNA from 1 species